GCGGGAGUAGCUCAGUAGAUAGAGCAUCAGCCUUCCAAGCUGAGGGUCGCGGGUUUGAGCCCCGUCUCCCGCU
rnacentral:tRNA from 1 species